rnacentral:rRNA from 1 species
UACGUAGGGUGCAAGCGUUGUCCGGAUUUAUUGGGCGUAAAGAGCGUGUAGGCGGCUGGGUAGGUCCGUUGUGAAAACUCGAGGCUCAACCUCGAGACGCCGAUGGAAACCCUCCAGCUAGAGUCCGGAAGAGGAGAGUGGAAUUCCUGGUGUAGCGGUGAAAUGCGCAGAUAUCAGGAAGAACACCCGUGGCUAAGGCGGCUCUCUAGUACGGUACUGACGCUGAGACGCGAAAGCGUGGGGAGCGAACAGG